GCGAGCGUGGUGGAAUAGGUAGACACGCCAGACUUAAAAUCUGUUGGCCGUAUGGCCGUGGGGGUUCAAGUCCCCCCGCUCGCACCA
rnacentral:tRNA from 1 species